rnacentral:rRNA from 1 species
AGUGAACGCUGGCGGUAGGCCUAACACAUGCAAGUCGAACGGCAGCACAAGAGAGCUUGCUCUCUGGGUGGCGAGUGGCGGACGGGUGAGGAAUACAUCGGAAUCUACCUUUUCGUGGGGGAUAACGUAGGGACACUUACGCUAAUACCGCAUACGACCUUCGGGUGAAAGCAGGGGACCUUCUGGCCUUGCGCGGAUAGAUGAGCCGAUGUCGGAUUAGCUAGUUGGCGGGGUAAAGGCCCAACAAGGCGACGAUCCGUAGCUGGUCUGAGAGGAUGAUCAGCCACACUGGAACUGAGACGCGGACCAGACUCCUACGGGAGGCAGCAGUGGGGAAUAUUGGACAAUGGGCGCAAGCCUGAUCCAGCCAUACCGCGUGGGUGAAGAAGGCCUUCGGGUUGUAAAGCCCUUUUGUUGGGAAAGAAAAGCAGCCAGUUAAUACCUGGUUGUUCUGACGGUACCCAAAGAAUAAGCACCGGCUAACUUCGUGCCAGCAGCCGCAGUAA